rnacentral:rRNA from 1 species
GGCCUAUCAGCUUGUUGGUGGGGUGAUGGCCCACCAAGGCGACGACGGGUAGCCGGCCUGAGAGGGUGUCCGGCCACACUGGGACUGAGAUACGGCCCAGACUCCUACGGGAGGCAGCAGUGGGGAAUAUUGCACAAUGGGCGCAAGCCUGAUGCAGCGACGCCACGUGGGGGAUGACGGCCUUCGGGUUGUAAACCUAACUUUCACCAUCGACGAAGGCCCGCUUUUGGUGGGUUGACGGUAGGUGGAGAAGAAGCACCGGCCAACUACGUGCCAGCAGCCGCGGUAAUACGUAGGGUGCGAGCGUUGUCCGGAAUUACUGGGCGUAAAGAGCUCGUAGGUGGUUUGUCGCGUUGUUCGUGAAAUUCCCUGGCUUAACUGGGGGCGUGCGGGCGAUACGGGCAGACUGGAGUACUGCAGGGGAGACUGGAAUUCCUGGUGUAGCGGUGGAAUGCGCAGAUAUCAGGAGGAACACCGGUGGCGAAGGCGGGUCUCUGGGCAGUAACUGACGCUGAGGAGCGAAAGCGUGGGGAGCG